rnacentral:rRNA from 1 species
AUGCAGUCGAACGAUGAUGCCCACUUGCUGGGCGGAUUAGUGGCGAACGGGUGAGUAAUACGUGAGUAACCUGCCCUUGACUCUGGGAUAAGCCUGGGAAACUGGGUCUAAUACUGGAUACUACCUCUUACCGCAUGGUGGGUGGUGGAAAGGGUUUUACUGGUUUUGGAUGGGCUCACGGCCUAUCAGCUUGUUGGUGGGGUAAUGGCUCACCAAGGCGACGACGGGUAGCCGGCCUGAGAGGGUGACCGGCCACACUGGGACUGAGACACGGCCCAGACUCCUACGGGAGGCAGCAGUGGGGAAUAUUGCACAAUGGGCGGAAGCCUGAUGCAGCGACGCCGCGUGAGGGAUGACGGCCUUCGGGUUGUAAACCUCUUUCAGUAGGGAAGAAGCGAGAGUGACGGUACCUGCAGAAGAAGCGCCGGCUAACUACGUGCCAGCAGCCGCGGUAAUACGUAGGGCGCAAGCGUUGUCCGGAAUUAUUGGGCGUAAAGAGCUCGUAGGCGGUUUGUCGCGUCUGCUGUGAAAGCCCGGGGCUCAACCCCGGGUCUGCAGUGGGUACGGGCAGACUAGAGUGCAGUAGGGGAGACUGGAAUUCCUGGUGUAGCGGUGAAAUGCGCAGAUAUCAGGAGGAACACCGAUGGCGAAGGCAGGUCUCUGGGCUGUUACUGACGCUGAGGAGCGAAAGCAUGGGGAGCGAACAGGAUUAGAUACCCUGGUAGUCCAUGCCGUAAACGUUGGGCACUAGGUGUGGGGGACAUUCCACGUUUUCCGCGCCGUAGCUAACGCAUUAAGUGCCCCGCCUGGGGAGUACGGCCGCAAGGCUAAAACUCAAAGGAAUUGACGGGGGCCCGCACAAGCGGCGGAGCAUGCGGAUUAAUUCGAUGCAACGCGAAGAACCUUACCAAGGCUUGACAUUCACCGGACCGCCCCAGAGAUGGGGUUUCCCUUCGGGGCUGGUGGACAGGUGGUGCAUGGUUGUCGUCAGCUCGUGUCGUGAGAUGUUGGGUUAAGUCCCGCAACGAGCGCAACCCUCGUUCUAUGUUGCCAGCACGUGAUGGUGGGGACUCAUAGGAGACUGCCGGGGUCAACUCGGAGGAAGGUGGGGAUGACGUCAAAUCAUCAUGCCCCUUAUGUCUUGGGCUUCACGCAUGCUACAAUGGCCGGUACAAAGGGUUGCGAUACUGUGAGGUGGAGCUAAUCCCAAAAAGCCGGUCUCAGUUCGGAUUGAGGUCUGCAACUCGACCUCAUGAAGUCGGAGUCGCUAGUAAUCGCAGAUCAGCAACGCUGCGGUGAAUACGUUCCCGGGCCUUGUACACACCGCCCGUCAAGUCACGAAAGUUGGUAACACCCGAAGCCGGUGGCCUAACCCCUUUGGGGAGGGAGCC